rnacentral:rRNA from 1 species
UACGGGGGGGGCAAGCGUUGUUCGGAAUUACUGGGCGUAAAGGGUUCGUAGGUGGCUUGCUAAGUCAGACGUGAAAUCCCUCAGCUUAACUGGGGAACUGCGUCUGAGACUGGCAAGCUUGAGUGCAGGAGAGGAACGCGGAAUUCCAGGUGUAGCGGUGAAAUGCGUAGAUAUCUGGAGGAACACCGGUGGCGAAGGCGGCCUGCUGGGCAGUAGCUGACACUGAGGCGCGACAGCGUGGGGAGCAAACAGG